AAGCGGGGAUACUCCUAUAAGACGAAAAGACCCCAUGGAGCUUCAAACCCAACUACACCCUUAACUACCACAACCGCACAACCUCUUAGGGCCCUGUAUAGUUGGUUUUAGGUUGGGGCGACCACGGAGUACAACCAAACCUCCGCAAUGGACGGGACCACUCCCUUAUCUAAGAGCCACACCUCUAAGAAUUAAAACACUAACAUAAAAUGAUCCAUGAUCUGAUCAAUGAACCAAGUUACCCUGGGGAUAACAGCGCAAUCCAUUUCAAGAGCCCUUAUCGACAAGUGGGUUUACGACCUCGAUGUUGGAUCAGGGUAUCCUAGUGGUGCAGCAGCUACUAAUGGUUCGUUUGUUCAACGAUUAAAACCCU
rnacentral:rRNA from 1 species